rnacentral:tRNA from 1 species
UCGAAAACUGAAGGCUAAGAGUCUUCUCAAGGU